rnacentral:rRNA from 1 species
UACGUAGGGGGCAAGCGUUGUCCGGAUUUACUGGGCGUAAAGAGCGCGCAGGCGGUCGUUCAAGUCGCGUGUGAAAGCCCCCGGCUCAACUGGGGAGGGUCACGCGAUACUGAUCGACUCGAAGGCAGGAGAGGGAAGUGGAAUUCCCGGUGUAGUGGUGAAAUGCGUAGAUAUCUGGAGGAACACCGGUGGCGAAGGCGGCAUCCUGGACCGAUACUGACGCUGAGGAGCGAAAGCCAGGGGAGCAAACGGG